CGCUAUCAUCCUACGGGAGGCAGCAGUGGGGAAUAUUGCACAAUGGGCGCAAGCCUGAUGCAGCCAUGCCGCGUGUAUGAAGAAGGCCUUCGGGUUGUAAAGUACUUUCAGCAGUGAGGAAGGCGGAGUCGUUAAUAGCGGCCUCGUUUGACGUUAGCUGCAGAAGAAGCACCGGCUAACUCCGUGCCAGCAGCCGCGGUAAUACGGAGGGUGCGAGCGUUAAUCGGAAUUACUGGGCGUAAAGCGCAUGCAGGUGGUUUGUUAAGUCAGAUGUGAAAGCCCGGGGCUCAACCUCGGAAUUGCAUUUGAAACUGGCAGACUAGAGUACUGUAGAGGGGGUAGAAUUUCAGGUGUAGCGGUGAAAUGCGUAGAGAUCUGAAGGAAUACCGGUGGCGAAGGCGGCCCCCUGGACAGAUACUGACACUCAGAUGCGAAAGCGUGGGGAGCAAACAGGAUUAGAUACUCUGGUAG
rnacentral:rRNA from 1 species